AACCGAUGUAACAUAAGUCCAAAAAUGCACAAAGUUAGCUCAAGAGACUGUUUAUAUGUUGGAGAUAUAUGACCAUAACCUCUUUUUUUGUCUUACUGCAUAUCUCAACUUUCUGAAUUUCCUCUUCACAACGAAUAACACAUCCAGCGUUAGUUUGGACGUCUUCAGUGGGAUCUCUACGUGGCUCAGCUCCCCAAGGAGAGAUCCCCUUUGAGAAUCUUCAGAUCCUGGGAACGAGGAUCAAAAGUGUGUAGACAGAGACGCCAGGCCUUUAGAGAACUUCCGCCAACUUGGGGUGCCUUUUCACGUGUUCCGCAGUGUUCUCUUCCUGCCUUUACUCAAACUCCCGUUCGUGUCUUUCCAGUGCAUCUGGCUGGAGUGUAAAAGCACCGAAGCUAAUCACCUAACCACAGGUGUGGAUCACCGAUAGGAUCUUAAAUGAGGGCUCAGGAAUUUGGCUGCGUGGAGCUGUGCCUGUGUUGGUUCUGGAAAGGGUGGGGAGAGACUUUUUUCUUUUUGAGGUGAAAGCAAUUUCCAGUAAUCUUCAUUGCCGUUGUACUUAAUUUCACUCCUCAGAAAACUCUUUGAAUUGAAGCGGUACCUCUGCUUCCUAAACAGUGGAACUGUAGCUGUCUGUCUGUGCUUCUCUUCACGUACCUCAGACUGGGCAUCUGGCAGUGACAGGAUGGCCAGAUACCUCUUCUACUUCCAGCCUCAUGCCUGCAUUCCUGGCAGGAAGAAGAAGGGGACAGAAUGAAGCCCACGUGUAUCAGGAAAGCAACCAUUUCCCAGAAAUCUCUGGCAGACUUUUCGAUUAUUUUUCAUCGGCUCUGAAUUCCGUACUUCCCUUUAGAUGUAAGGAAUUUUGGGAAGGUGGCACAUGGUGUCCCUGAAAAGAACGAUUUUUCUUUUAGUAAAGGAUGGGCAGUGACUGGGUAUCCAGCAGCGUCCAUCCAGCAGAGGUUUUUGUUUUAUUUUGUUUUUGCAAAAAUACAACCGGCCAUCUUAAGGGCAUCCCAGGCCAAGAUGCAGGCACCCCUUGAAUUCCUGGGAUUGUGCCAGAACUGGCCGAUGAGGAGCUUGUAUUCUGUAACUUAAGUUUGAAUGGACAAUGGAACAUGCACCUGCGCAGAGGAGAUAUGUGAAAAAGCAUGCUUUCACGUUGACCUGUAGCUGGUGAGCAGUGGGCGGAGCGCCGUUAGCGUGGCUCUACACGCCAUGCCCGGGACCUGAGUUGGGCUGGGUGUGGUGGUGGUGACGGUGAUGGUGAGGGCAGCCACAGCAGCAGCAGCAGGGGCAGCAGUAGUCACAGCCCUGGAGAGAGGAGGGACCCCAGUGCCAGGAUCCAUGGCAGGAGGCCAGUUUGCCAGUGUGUCUCUGGAGCCCGUCUCUGGGGCAUUGGCACAGAUCUUAACGCUUUGGCCAGGAACUCUUAGAGCUCACGUGGCAAAACUUUGUCAGCAAAAUUAUUGCAGAAUGAAAACGUACACAUGGACAUUUCAACAAAACCUGUUAAGGAGGAAUUAGAAUUCUUCAUAGUUUAAAACCUCUGUUUUCGCUAACUGCUGCAGCACCGUAAAACAAAUAUCCAUAAACUUAGAAACAGAAAUUAAAUGUAACGAUGAUCACACUUCAUGAAAUAGAACGCUAUUUUCCUAUGAAGCAUCAGAUGAAACCGUUUUAAUGAAGAUAAUUUUGAAAUUAGUUUUCCUUUGUAAUUGAAUAUACAGUGAUAGAAUGUGUAAACAAGUAUUUGAAUUAUAUAUAAAUCAUGAAGUCCAUUUCUUGUAUAACCUCCACAAAUUACAGGAAAUGUAAGAAGAAAUGUUAAAAUGCCAUGGUAUAAGUUUACAUUUAAAAUUAAAUUUAGACUGACAUGAAAAUGAUCUGUAUGAAGACAAGUUUUUUCAGAAAAAUUGUUCUGCAAGAAUCAUCAGCUUUAGAUGUACUAAUAUUUACACAUAUAUUUCUAAUAUUUAUAUUUUAAUAUAAUUAAUUGGAAAUUUAUCCCAAUGUUUUCAUAGCCUAUAAAAUACUCUUUUAUGUAAAGUU